AUUGAACGCUGGCGGCAUGCCUUACACAUGCAUGUCGAACGGCAGCGGGGACUUCGGUCCGCCGGCGAGUGGCGAACGGGUGAGUAAUGUAUCGGAACGUACCUUUCAGUGGGGGAUAACGUAGCGAAAGUUACGCUAAUACCGCAUAUUCUCUGAGGAGGAAAGCAGGGGACCUUCGGGCCUUGCGCUGAUGGAGCGGCCGAUAUCAGAUUAGCUAGUUGGUGGGGUAAAGGCUCACCAAGGCUACGAUCUGUAGCGGGUCUGAGAGGAUGAUCCGCCACACUGGGACUGAGACACGGCCCAGACUCCUACGGGAGGCAGCAGUGGGGAAUUUUGGACAAUGGGCGAAAGCCUGAUCCAGCCAUGCCGCGUGAGUGAAGAAGGCCUUCGGGUUGUAAAGCUCUUUCGGACGGGAAGAAAUCAUGAGGGCUAAUAUCCCUUGUGGAUGACGGUACCGUAAUAAGAAGCACCGGCUAACUACGUGCCAGCCGCCGCAGUAA
rnacentral:rRNA from 1 species